CUUUUGGGUGGUGUUUGGUUCACAGAUCUGAUCAUGGGAUGUAUAGCCUGCCUAAGACUCUUACACAUGUGACAAUGUUAGCUAUCCCUGGAAUUCAAAAAGCUAAGCGGCUUGGAAAUUUUUUCACCUUUCACGUUCCCUUAGUUUAACAGUUUCACAUUGAUCCAUAGUGUUUCAAAAAUUCUUGAGUUUAACUGAUUGACUUAGUUGUUUUGCAGAACAGUCUUUGCAUAAAAGAAAAAAGGCCAACUUCCUACUACGCUAAAAUAAUUAAAGGUUGCCUGGAAAUUCAUCAGUUACCAGGAACACUAGUGAUGGGCAGAAGCUAUCCCGUUCUGAGAUGUUUUCCUCUCAGGGCUCAUGACAAACACGUUGUACAUUCCAAGAGCACCAUCAGAACACCAACAGCCGUGCCCAAAACCAUCCCCCAAAUACUGGGUGGAAGCAAAUAUACGUUUCCCUCAGUUUGUCAAAUCCUCGCUGGCAAAACUGAAUGCAGACUAAACAGACCGUUACAAUUUACAUCUUCCCCACAGUCCACACAGAGGAGAUAUUUUUAACCUUUUACAUUCACAUUAGCAUGCUUCGGUGCGAUAGCAGUUAGAGGAAAAGGCAGAAUUGUGAGGCCUCAGAGAUGUCUCAGUCCAGGUCUGAAUGUGGAGCCAAUCUGCUGACUGACCUAGCAGUGCUGUGCAAAUGGACCUGGGGAUGGUGAAACAGCCGUCCUGCUGGUGAAUGUAAUCGAAGGAGUCUGACGAGUCACAUUCCUUAGGUCGCACCACCAUCAAAUGUUUGGGCGUAGAAAAGGAAAUCAAAUGGAUCUUACAGUAAAAUGAACUAACUGAAGUGGUCGCAUGUUUCCCUGUGUCUUACUGGAUUUGUCAGGCGGGGACUUUAUAAUAGAAGCCCAGGCUGAAAGGCUCUUAUCAACAGAGGCCAGCAUGGGAUGUGAUUACAGAGCAUUUACCUAAAGCAGACAUUAUGCAGAGGAGUAAUGUGAUGCAAACUGAAAGCUUGGUGUCUUGUGAUGGAUGGAGACUUAACAUUCCUGUGCGUUCCCAGAAUAAACAACCACACACAGCUAUGUUUAUAUCACAAUUAUUUUACAAUGAAGGCUGUGGUCUGGUUUGAUAAAGCUUUAUUUUCUCCUGCUAUGAGAGUUUCCAGCUGUUCUGCUUUAUGGUACAAUACAGAAGUAAACAAUUCAUAUAAAACAAAACUGAGAAGUUUUUUGUUUUUUUUAUCACAGAUAUUUGUCUAGCCUUUUGCUUCGUCACUGCUAAUGGAUUCAAUACCUUCAACAUUUGGGGGAAAUAUCAUCAUUAUCAACAUCAUCAUGUUCAAACUUUAAAUAAAUUACACAUCAAAGCAGUGCUUGUAAGGGUUUCAACCAAACUGCAUAAAUAUACAUUAGAAGUCUUAAAAAAAGAAAAGAAAAAUAGAAUCUACACUCUUUAAAAAGACACCAUGAGUGGUGGAUCAUGACCAGACCAUAAUAUUAGACUGGAGCCUUCAUGCUGAAGUGGACAGAGUCUAUAAAUCCCAAAAUGCACCCUAAUCCCUACAGAAGUGGACUACUUCCAACUGGACCAAUGGUAAGAAGCCAUGUCAAAGCCAGAAUGGGCCGAUCGCCCUUAGAUUAUGAUGGAGCCCUAUAGGCCCGCACUGGGGAACAGUAGUGAAUUAGAUUAGUGAACAGGGUGUGGUUUUGGACACACCGAUGCUGUGGUCCGCUACAGCAGCCUGGCAGGAACUGUCAGUCAGCCAGCUAGACAGUCAGUCAGCUUUCGGCAUUCUUGGCUUCACAGCUCAGUCUGCUAGAGUUGCUAAUCCAAUGAAACCGAGCAGUCAUUUGACCAGGAGGCUGAAACACAGUUUUAACUACUAAGCGAAGACUGUUGGAGUACAUGUCCACACACACAAAGGCCACCAGUCGUCGCACACAGUUGCACACACGCAUUUAUAGAUGUGGCGUGAGCGGCAACAGAAAGACGAGUCCAGUUCCCCAAAUUACAUGGCAGUAACAACACAACUGCUUUCUUUUCUCAUUUAACAC
ensembl:lncRNA